rnacentral:rRNA from 1 species
UGAGGGAUAUUGGUCAAUGGGCGCAAGCCUGAACCAGCGACGCCGCGUGGGUGAAGAAGGUCUUCGGAUCGUAAAGCCCUUUUCCCACUGAAGAGGAAGGACGGUAGGUGGGGAAGAAGUCUCGGCUAACUACGUGCCAGCAGCCGCGGUAAAACGUAGGAGACAAGCGUUAUCCGGAGUUACUGGGCGUAAGGGCGUGCAGGUGGCGUCUUAAGUCUGUUGUGAAAGCGCCUGGCUUAACCGGGCGAGGCCAAUGGAGACUGAGAGGCUGGAGGACGGCGGAGGGGUGUGGAAUUCCGGGUGUAGUGGUGAAAUGCGUAGAGAUCCGGAGGAACACCAGAGGCGAAGGCGGCACUCUAAGCCGUACCUGACACUGAGACGCGACAGCACGGGGAGCAGACG